rnacentral:rRNA from 1 species
UACGUAGGGCGCGAGGCGUUGUCCGGAAUUAUUGGGCGUAAAGAGCUCGUAGGCGGCCUGUCGCGUCCGCUGUGAAAUCCCGGGGCUUAACCCCGGGCCUGCAGUGGGAUACGGGCAGGCUGGAGGCAGGCAGGGGGAGAACGGGAAUUCCCGGGUGUAGCGGUGAAAUGCGCAGAUAUCGGGAGGAACACCGGGUGGCGAAGGCGGUUCUCUGGGGCAUUACCCUGGACGCUGAGGAGCGAAAGUGUGGGGAGCGAACAGG